AGGGCACCACCAGGAGUGGAGCCUGCGGCUUAAUUUGACUCAACACGGGAAAUCUCACCAGGCCCGGACACCGGAAGGAUUGACAGAUUGAGAGCUCUUUCUUGAUUCGGUGGGUGGUGGUGCAUGGCCGUUCUUAGUUGGUGGAGCGAUUUGUCUGGUUAAUUCCGAUAACGAACGAGACUCUGGCCUACUAACUAGACGUUAGAUCCCUUUGUGGGUCUAUCGCAGCUUCUUAGAGGGACGGGCGGCGUUUAGCCGCACGAGAUUGAGCAAUAACAGGUCUGUGAUGCCCUUAGAUGUUCUGGGCUGCACGCGCGCUACACUGAAGGAAUCAGCGCGUGUUCCCUGUCCGAAAGGACUGGGAAACCCGUUGAACCUCCUUCGUGAUGGGGAUGGGGGAUUGCAAUUAUUCCCCAUGAACGAGGAAUUCCAGUAGGCGCGAGUCAUAAGCUGCGUCGAUUACGUCCNGCCCCUUGUACACACCGCCCCGUCGCUACUACCGAUCGAGUGAUUUAGNGA
rnacentral:rRNA from 1 species